rnacentral:misc_RNA from 2 species
ACGCAUCUCUGGCGGCGAGGGUGCGCCCUGCUCCGGACCGAAAGGCCGUGCAGCGGGCUAGCCCGGACCGCUCAACCUUUGCAAACCCACCGUGCACUUUUGUCGGCAGAGGGCUUUACGGCCCCGAGCCGGAUCACAAACACUUUGUUAAACGAAUGCAAGCGGACACUGAGCCGCCUAAACUUUAA